rnacentral:rRNA from 1 species
GAUGAACGCUGGCGGCGUGCCUAAUACAUGCAAGUCGAGCGAACGGACGAGAAGCUUGCUUCUCUGAUGUUAGCGGCGGACGGGUGAGUAACACGUGGAUAACCUACCUAUAAGACUGGGAUCACUUCGGGAAACCGGAGCUAAUACCGGAUAAUAUUUUGAACCGCAUGGUUCAAAAGUGAAAGACGGUCUUGCUGUCACUUAUAGAUGGAUCCGCGCUGCAUUAGCUAGUUGGUGAGGUAACGGCUUACCAAGGCAACGAUGCAUAGCCGACCUGAGAGGGUGAUCGGCCACACUGGAACUGAGACACGGUCCAGACUCCUACGGGAGGCAGCAGUAGGGAAUCGUCCGCAAUGGUCGAAAGCCUGACGGAGCAACGCCGCGUGAGUGAUGAAGGUCUUCGGAGCGUAAAACUCUGUUAUUAGGGAAGAACAGAUGUGUAAGUAACUGUGCACAUCUUGACGGUACCUAAUCAGAAAGCCACGGCUAACUACGUG